rnacentral:misc_RNA from 1 species
AGUCUCGAAUGGUCAUCUACAUCAAUAGCGUCUUCGAUAUCUUCAUCACCACCGUCAUCGUUAUGUAAACCUAUGAAAAUAAAUAAUGAAACUAAAAAAAACGAAUUAAUGACAGUACUAACUACAUUGUUGGCUCAAAAAAAGGAAAAAAAUUAGUUCAUAAUCUACACCAUACCACCUUGAUCAUCUUCAAUAUCACCAUCAACUAAAAGUAGAAAAAUAAGAAAAAUCAACUCAAAUUUGAAGGACAUAAAUAUGCGUAUGGAAAUAGCACAUGAAGACAGUACAUUAGCAACAAUUGCUGAUAAUCCCUUUUCAUCAUCAUCAUAAAUCUGACACAGAAGCUGAAAUGAAUACAUUAGCAGCUAGAUCAUCAUCAUCAACAAAAAAUACUGUAUCCAAUGAUUCUUUGCUGGAAUGUAUCAAACAUAAUUAUAACAGUCUAUCAAAACAAUUAGCAAAUUUAAAAGGCCAUAUCUGCUGACGUUCCCAAAUCCUGUCUGAAAUAAAAAAAUAACAGUACU